GUGCUUCUUGAUCGGAAUCCAUCGACGUGAUCGCGUACUUCUCAAUUGGAGUUCGAUCUGUUUCGGCCGAGUCAUCAUCUUCCUCAACGAGAGCCUCCGGCAACGUCGAGCAUCAUGUAGUCGAGGACUAGGGGUCUUCAUCAAGGCGGCGGCAGACGAAACCAACGCCUUCGUUAGAGAUCUCACCUCCGUCAAGACUUUGACGUCGGCGGCAUUUUCAAAGCGGCGGUGUCUUUCGACGAAGAGAGAGAGAGAAGGACUUCCUUCUUUUUGGGGCUGGAAGGCUGUUCUAGCUAGACGAACGCGACUGUAGCUUCCUAUCAAAACCAAAGCCAUACACAGGAAGCAAAACCUCAAUCAGUUACUAAUUCCGAUGCCGGCAAAGCUAGGAGAACCAAAAUCCAGAGGGAAAAGGACUUACUCGGAGCGAUUUGACGACGGAGUCCUUGUUAGGGCGGGUUUGACAGCGGAGCUGGUUGCCGAUUUGGUGACGAGUUGUCUGUGUGUGAUUGUGGACGAGAGAGAGAGAGAGAGAGAGAGAGAGAGAGAGAGAGAGAGAGAGAGAGAGAGAGAGAGAGUGUGUGUGUGUGUGAGAUUAUGGACGAGGGAGUUGAUUGUGGAUGAGAGAGUAAGGAGGGUAUUUUAGGUAUACUACAAUACUGGAGUUGGUGGAUUUAGACUUAUAAGUGGACUUAUAUGGGUAAAAAAUUUAAGGUGGACUUAUGUAGAAGAAAAUGUCUCAAGGUAGACUUAUAUGAAAUUUUCUAUAAUAGUAAUAUGUCAUCUGAACUAGUUUUUAGUUUUAACAAAUAUAUUAGUUUUUUUUUUUUAAUACGAUUACAAUCGUACAUAAGUGCAUCCCGUAUGAGUUCUGGAGCCGAGUAAAGCCACUCAAGAUUGACAGUUAACUCAAAACUAUGACUAGCAAAUCUGUGCUACCAUAUUAGUCUGUCGAUG
rnacentral:lncRNA from 1 species